rnacentral:rRNA from 1 species
CUCAGUUCGGAUUGGAGUCUGCGACCCGACUCCAUGAAGCUGGAUUCGCUAGUAAUCGCGCAUCAGCCACGGCGCGGUGAAUACGUUCCCGGGCCUUGUACACACCGCCCGUCAAGCCAUGGGAGCCGGGGGUACCUGAAGUGCGUGACCGCAAGGAGCGCCCUAAGGUAAAACCGGUGACUGGGGCUAAGUCGUAACAAGGUACC